GGGCGGGGCUCAGGGGGCGGGGCGCGGCGGGGAGGGGCGCGAGGACCCCAGGCCGCGAGGCUGGCGACCGGUGGGGGCGCCGCCGGGUGGAGAUCCCGCGGCCCGGUGGAGCACGUCCUCUUUCCCCAGACCCACGGACCACCUUCCUUCCCUCCCGUGGGCGCACCGCUGCCGGUGUCUAUCCGAGCACCUGCGGGGCGGGAGCGCCCACCGGGGACGGGGGACCCAUUUAAUCAGCGCCCUGCGCGGAGACUGGUUUGAGGCCCGGGCGAUGCUUGAGGGACAAGCAUGCGGCCUCGGGGCUCUGCAAACCUAGAAAGGUGACCUCGGGUAGAAGAGCCAAGUGGGGCCCGAGGUUGAUCCGAAGCUGGCAGGACCCGUCGCGGGGCACCCGCCUGAGAGUCCAGGGCUGCGACUCCGCGGCGCCGAGCAGGCGCACAGGCCGCUUCUAGGGGACCCUCCCUCCGGCCCCUCCCCGCUCCUCGGGGGACUGUUACCUUAAUAGGCGAGAACUGGGAGAGGGCGCUGGGGUUGGGGGGGGGGACACCCCGCGUCCUGAGGGCUGCUCCCCACCCGGCCGGCCAGUGGAGGGAGUCAGACUCCCACGUCUUGCAGGUUUCCACUGAUCUGAGGGCUUGGAAGAAUCCUAAAUUUUCGGGAUCUUACUUCUGAUGUGGAGAUGGGAGAAAGGGGGCGGUUUUUGUUUUGCUUUGUUUCUAUUAAGUUAGGCUGUUGGCAGGAAAAUCCGACUCCCACUCCCAUUGACUAAGUGUCUACAAUAUGUGGUGCCAGACAGUAUGGGGGAGACGAGAAAGUGUAAAAUUCGGAGAGCCUAUGCAUAAAUUCAGCAAAACUUUGAGUGCCUAUGAUAGGCUAGACAUAGUAGCAAGCCCCACGGACUCAACAAUGAGGAGACAGCCAGGCCCGGAACCACAGUCGCUGGCGGUGGAGACAGAUCUGUAAGCAAACAAGUUAGUUCAGGAAACAAAUUGACAAGCAUUCUGACCAAUGGGAUUGGAGUGGUGUCUACUGAGGCGCCAGAUGGUCUGCCUCCUGAAGCUGUUGGAUCUGGAUGGUAUACAUAGAGUUGCUAUAUCCAUCUUCGUACCAGCCUGAGAACAGAUCCCACAUUGAGAACAGCAAAACAGGAAGUUGAAAAGACCGGAGUCAUUGGUGACAUUGCCCCAGAACUGACUCAGACAUGAUACUUGAAGCUCUAGAACAUUUUGUGACUAUGAAGAAAGGGCAAGACAACUGCAGACCUUCCACCCAGGACAUUGUGGAACUGCUGAACCAACACGUGCAGCCACCUGCUCCAGAUUCCUUAUUCUACAGGAAAGCAGGACAACAGGGCAGGAGCCUGGUGCCCAGGGCUGAGGAACAAGAAGACCUGGGCUAUGGAGAAGAGGCACCAGACAGUUCCCUGGACUUCAGCCUCCCGUCUGUGACUGGCCAGCAUCGGUGGUUCUCAAACCUCGGGCCUGUGGAAGCUGAGUCGUCUUCCUAAGUAAGCUGCUAAAACGGUCUCUGGAGAACUGUGUUUGUGAAGGCUUCAUCUCAGUCCCACAUUCAAGGAGGGGACUCUGACUGCUCUAGAUGGAGGAGCUGACGGAGCUGACAGAAAGCAGUGGUCAGAUGACACAAAGUCGUUGACUGGGAGAACGGCUCUUCUGACUGCUUUGUGUGGGCAGCACAUGCUGGGUGCUAGGGAAUCCGUGGGUGUGGGGUGAGAUGCUGUCUGGGGACUUCCCGGUGCCAGUCUUCUGGGAUGAGCCAGCCUGGCUCUGAGCCUCCGUCCUCCAGCUUCGCGGGAGCUGAGCCCUUUGCGGUCUGGGCUCGAGUUCUGGAUUGCACUGCUUUCCUGUUCUGCGGUUUCCCUAGCUCUCAGGUCGCCCUGUCCCCAGCACCCUUAGCAGCAAUAUCACUGAGGUUUAUUUUCUGGCAAGAAAGAAAACUUCCCAUCACUCCACCUUGAAUGCACACGCGUUCCUCGGGUGCCCAUCUGCACUCCCUCCAGGUCUUGGCACCUGCUCCAUCAUGGGUCCUGCCAUGAUCCGGUCCCACAGUGGGCCUUGCCUCAGCUCUGGCUGGAGAGGACCCAGCUGGCUGCCAAGCCCCUGGAAUGCCCUCCCAGGGUCCCAGACUCUGCCACCUACACAGGGAUGCAGCCAACAGCAGUGUAGGGCUGUGGCAGAGUCUCAGGUGUUCCAGGUGACCUGCAUUCCUGGGCAGCCCGCCAGGCCCAGCAGCACUCUGCAGACAUUGAGUGACCCUUUAUUUUCCAUCCCCGUCAGCAUUAUGACUCGGUUUGUGACUUUUUUACCUGCUCACUUGUGUUAUCUUAGGUUUGGGCCUUGUGACUUUGUUUUGUCCUAGGGUUGCCGGAUAAAAUACAAGAUGUCCAGUUAAAUUCGAAUUUUGGAUAGAUAAGGAAUCAUUUUAAAAAUUUUAAGUAUGUCCCAAAUAUUGCAUGGGUUAUCCUCAUCCUAAAAAAUGAUUCCUCGUUUAUCUGAAGUUCAAAUUUAACUGAGUGUCCUGUAUUUUUAUUCGCGAAAUUUGUAUUCACAAUGAACUGGGUGUCCUGUAUUUUUAUUCAGUAAACCUGGCAACCCUCUUCUUCAGAGGGGGCCUCCCUGAACUCAAGAACUUUCUGAACUUUCUUGGGGAGGCUUCCAGCCUGACUGCAGGGACUUAACCCCACUCUUCAGGAGAAUCAUAAUGGAUGAUCCCGUCCUCAGACUGGGAGCUCCUUGAAGGUAGGCCUUGGGUCCCCCUUUCACUGCCACACCUCAGAUGCUCGAACUAGGGCCAAGGGGCUCAGCACCUUGUGAGCAUCAUGGGUCCCAUCAGGGCUAAGACCAUAGGGACCUUGGUGCUAUUUGCCUGCUCAAGGGACCUGCAAUGGCACAGGGCUGGUGGGUGGCUGCGAGCCUUGAGAGGAGAUUCCUUGGGAUCACAUGUCCCGUGACAGCUGCUGGGCUGGGGAAUGAGCUCUGAGCAAGGUGGGUUUCCUGGGGGCACCUCACGUCAUUUUGCUGGACACAGAGGGGCAUUUUACCCUUUCUGCCGCAUAUGGUAUGGGAUCACAGGCAGGCCUGAACCUGUUCUCUCUGCCUGAUGGCUUAUCAAUUUCUUGCUUCAUCUCAGAACAAAGGACUAACUCCUUACACAGAUGAGGGGAAAUGAUCUGCCCAGACACCAAUCCAAUUAAGGGAAGAACUGGGACCAGGAUAAGUUCUUCUGGCUCUCAGUCCAGCGCUCAGCACGGGGUUGUCUUUCCAGGGGCAGCAAGGACCUGAGGCAGGACGUUUACUGGAGCCCUGAGCCCUGGCAGCAGCAACUGCGUCUGUUCACAGCAGCGAUGACAGAGAGUGUCAAAACCGAGCAUUCACUGGAGGCAGAGUCUGAACCCUUCAAAUAAGAUGUGACGAAUCAUCCGGUUGAAGGGAAAUCCCUGAUAGCCUAGCUAGUUUCAGGGAGAUAGACAGGGAGAGCUUCUGGUGUUUAUGUUUUGAAAUUUCCCUUUUUUUUCCUCCAUAAAGGAGAAAUAAACUUUGUCCUUCGGUUGUGAAGCUGAGGAGGCCUCUGGAAGCUGUGCUUAGUUAGUGACAACGCCAAGGUCUGAACAUUGCUGUCCAUUGCCCCUGGGUUCACAGGAGCCAUCGCCUUCCCUGCCCCGUCCUUAGCUCUCUACUAAUUUCUAGGAACCCAUGCAAUGUGCACGGGUCACAUCGGAUGUUGCUGUCUUAGAGGCAUAGAGGUUACUUGGUCCCACCUGCAAGGGCAGCUCUUUCUCGAAAGGGCAGCCUUGUCUGCUUUCACCUGAGCUCUCCUUAGUACAUUACCUCUCCCCACCCACAUCCUUAUCAUCCUUUUAUCUACAUAUCAACCCCCGGAGUGUCCCUUAGAAUCCUCUGUUGGGACUUGCCCAUGGUCUUUAAUGGGGGAGGGGUACUUCUGCGGUUGGGAUUUUUAAACUGGAGCCCCUUUCCCUUGGGCGUUCCUCCCGCACCUCUUGUCCACCUGGCAGCUCUUAGGAGUGAUUUAUGGGGUAGUCUGUCAUUACAUUGCUAGAGGGGAGAAGGUGAGGAGACUGAAUGAAACGAAGAGGGCCCUGGGUCUGGGAUGGGUGGGCUUGUCUUUUGGAGGGGCCCGGAGGUCCUUCUAAUACCUGGGAUUUCAUGCACAGAUUCCUCUGUGCUCAACAAAGUACAUUUUUAAAAAUGUUUUAAUUAAAAGGGAAGUUUUAGAAAGGACUGCCUCCCCAGCCUUGAUGCUUUGACACAAGAAUAGUUUAUUCUUAAACAAGGCAUGCACACAAAAUUCACCAUAACAUUGAUUACAUUGCAAUAAGGAAUUUGUUUAUUUGACAACUUAAAGACAAGUUGCAUAUUAGGAGAAAAUAUUUUGGAUGCAUGCAAGUUGCAAAGGUUCCGUUCAUAUUAUAUAUAAGAACUAUCAUUCAGCAAAAAGAAAUCAAACAACUCAAUAAGGAAAUGGAUAAAUGACAUAAACAAGGGUUUCACAGAAAAGGGAAUAUAUGUGGGGAAUAAAUACAUAAGGAGAUAUUCAACCUCGUUAGUUAUCAAGGAAAAACAAAGACAAUAGUGAAUUAACAUAUAUUUAUUCAAUUGGUGAAUAUUACAACCUGUUAACAUAGGGAAUUGGAAACAAUGUAGACAGUCACUUAUGUAUUCAAUAAAAAUGUAUCGAACCCUACUUUGCACUUGUAAACCAAAAAUAAAAUUCUAUGGCCCCCCUCAACCAUCUGAACGGACUCCUUCUCUUGGCCAAGAGCAUUCCAAAUUUAGACUGAAAAACUAGUUUUAGGCCACGGUGGAAAGGGGGAGCCAGACAUGCCUCAUUAUACCAUCCUCUCUUUUGGAAUUAGUGAUAGAACAGACUCUUUACGUCUGAUACGAUCUGACUCCCAAGCUUGCUACUUGGAGACUUCAUCUGCAUGAUAAAACCUUGAUCUCCACAACCCCUUAUUAUAACCCAGGUGUUCCUUUCUAUUUUUAAUAACUCAACCAAUUGCCAAUCAGAAAAUCUCUGAAUAUGCCUGUGACUUGGAGGCCCCCGACAUCCAGUUGUUCCACCUUUCUGGACUGAACCAAUACACAUCUUACAGGUAUUGAUUAAUGUAUCAUGUCUCCCUAAAACGUAUAAAAACCAAGCUGUACCCUGACCACCUUGGGUAUAUGUUCUCAGGAUCUCCUGAGGGCUGUGUCAGGGGCCAUUGGUCACUCAUAUUUGGCUUAGAAUAAAUCUCUUCAAAGAUU